rnacentral:lncRNA from 1 species
GGCAAUCAACAAGAUUAUUAUCAGUUUUCAUAUAAGAUAAAGAAAUAAUGUCAUGAAUUUCUUGCUUUCUUAUAGACAUUUGUCUUACUUUUAUAUGUCUGCUAAUUUUUGAAUUUAUAAGUUUUUUUUGCAAAAGUUUAUUGCAGCUCUAGAAUUAUAAUGAAUUGAAAUAGAAAGAAGAGGAGAUGAAAUUAAAAAAUUUCAGAUAAAAGAUCUUUAAGCCAUUCGGCUUC